GUGAACCGGGAAGAGCUCAAAUUUGAAAUCUGGCGUCCUUCGGGCGUCCGAGUUGUAAUCUAUAGAAACGUUUUCCGUGCCGGACCGUGUCCAAGUCCCUUGGAACAGGGUAUCAGAGAGGGUGACAAUCCCGUACUUGACACGACGACCGGUGCUCUGUGAUACGUUCUCUACGAGUCGAGUUGUUUGGGAAUGCAGCUCAAAAUGGGUGGUAAACUCCAUCUAAAGCUAAAUAUUGGUGGGAGACCGAUAGCGAACAAGUACCGUGAGGGAAAGAUGAAAAGCACUUUGGAAAGAGAGUUAAACAGUAUGUGAAAUUGUUGAAAGGGAAACGAUUGAAGUCAGUCGUGACCGUUGGGUUCAGCCGGUUCUGCCGGUCUACUCCCUUCGGUCGGGUCAACAUCGGUUUUGACCGGCGGAUAAGGAAGGGAGGAAUGUGGCACCCUCCGGGGUGUGUUAUAGCCUCUCGUCGCAUACGUCGGUCGAGACCGAGGAACGCAGCUCGCCUUUAUGGCCGGGGUUCGCCCACGUCCGAGCUUAGGAUGUUGACAUAAUGGCUUUAAACGACCCGUCUUGAAA
rnacentral:rRNA from 1 species